AAUGGGUCAGCGACUUAUAUUCUGUAGCAAGGUUAACCGAAUAGGGGAGCCGAAGGGAAACCGAGUCUUAACUGGGCGUUAAGUUGCAGGGUAUAGACCCGAAACCCGGUGAUCUAGCCAUGGGCAGGUUGAAGGUUGGGUAACACUAACUGGAGGACCGAACCGACUAAUGUUGAAAAAUUAGCGGAUGACUUGUGGCUGGGGGUGAAAGGCCAAUCAAACCGGGAGAUAGCUGGUUCUCCCCGAAAGCUAUUUAGGUAGCGCCUCGUGAAUUCAUCUCCGGGGGUAGAGCACUGUUUCGGCAAGGGGGUCAUCCCGACUUACCAACCCGAUGCAAACUGCGAAUACCGGAGAAUGUUAUCACGGGAGACACACGGCGGGUGCUAACGUCCGUCGUGAAGAGGGAAACAACCCAGACCGCCAGCUAAGGUCCCAAAGUCAUGGUUAAGUGGGAAACGAUGUGGGAAGGCCCAGACAGCCAGGAUGUUGGCUUAGAAGCAGCCAUCAUUUAAAGAAAGCGUAAUAGCUCACUGGUCGAGUCGGCCUGCGCGGAAGAUGUAACGGGGCUAAACCAUGCACCGAAGCU
rnacentral:rRNA from 1 species